rnacentral:lncRNA from 1 species
UUAACAAAUUUGUUGCCAAUGACUUUAAUCUCAUUUGGUACAGGUUUGGAAACUCUUCCACAAUUGAUUUUGAAGUCAGAAUCAAUUAUGGAUAAAAGCUUAUGUGAGUAGCUUCUGUGUCAUAAUUGAUUAGAAGGAAAUAGUAGAAGCUGAUUCAAACAUGCUUAUUAUGGGGCAAAAAUAUGUAGCAUUAUGCAUUGUAAUAAAUUUGAGGCAUCUUAUUCUUACCUGCAUGCAUUGUACUCUUCCACCGUUGCUUGCAAUGGAGGUAAUGUCAUUGUUGGCCUUUCUAACUGGGAAGCCAGCCAUGGACUUGAGGCCGGUGAAUGGAGCCACCAUGCUGGCCUGUGCCGGAGAGGCACCUUUAAUGGUGGUGGCGGCGGCUGAGGAGGUGAUCAUAGAGGAAGCCAUUUCUUUCUCCUUUUUUUAGUUCUCUAGUCAGAAAUACUUGCAAGGCUUCUACUCAAACAGGGUAUAUAUUGCCAAAAUGAUAAACAUUGUAGAAUAUGAACCAAAGAAAUCAUAUCAUGAUAAGAGCUUCACGCCGCAGCUAGUUUAGUCCACAAAAUUAUAUCCAAGUUGUAAUAACCCUCGAUCCUCCAAGAACAACGUUUUAGAAUUUUCUUCUCCGAAAAAUUUGCAUGGGGAAAACUCCAAAGGAUAUGUUAAUGGACUCCAAUUUUAAAAUUUGAAACAGAAAGUAGAGAAAUUAGUCUUGCGUUUGAGCCAGAGAUAAGUUAUACCAUAUGAUUUUGACCUUUUAUAUUCAUACAUAGACCUUAGAAAUAUGUGACAUUCACUUUUUUUGAAAUGACUAUUUUAUUUUCACAUUUCUCCUCAAUUUUUUCUUAAUUAGAUUUCCAUUUUCAUAAGUAUUAGUCAAUUAGCCAUAUGAACCUCUUAUCUGUUUUUUUAUCUCACUGCAGUCUUUUCCACAAAUGUUGCUAUCAAAAGGGACCAGUAUUUAAUGCAAUCGUGAUUCACAAAACCCACAACCUCUUAAUGAUUAAUUCAGUCUUAGAAAACUGAUUCUAAUAAAAGGAUGAAUGGUGUAAGUAAUAAAAAUAAGAGCACGUAUAACUUGAUCGUAAGCACAUGUACAAGCAUUUAGUUGUUGAUUGAUUCUGCUCUUAUUAUAUAAGAAUCUAUUUUACUUGAUAAAAAAAAUUUGGAGUUGUUCCAAUGUUUAUUGGUCUAAAAAAAAAGGGUUGUGUGUGCAUAUAUGAGAGGCAUAAAAAAAUAGUGGCUUUUUUGUGCUAAGGAGGGUAGCUAUUUUUUGUCCCAGCAAAACAAAAAAUUAGUAGCUCAAACCCCCCCAAAAGCAAAAAAAUAAAAAAAAUAAAUGGAACCCGCGGGCCAGCCCGCCCCAAAAAGGUGGCGGGGCGGGCUGGCCCAACGGGCUGAGCCCAUAUUGCCAUCCCUAUGAUUAAUGGACUUGAGAUUACUCCCUCCGUUCCAGAAAGUAAGGGUGCACAUGGGCCGGGUCAAUCCAUUGAAACCAUCCAACCGAAUUCGAUCCAAUGAUAAAUAUGCGGGUUGGAUUGGGCAAACGGGUUAAUCAAAUGAAUUUUAUUACGAUCUAAUCGUCUUUGGAUCGGAUAUCGAAUACCAUAAUAAUUCAUCCAACCCAAUCCGAAAUCCAAUCAUAUGAUAAUAAUAUAUUAUUUAAUAUAUAUUCUUAAUAAUUUUAACUUUAACCUAACAUACUAGUAGGGUAUGUAAUUUAUAGAGACUCUGAGUCCUUCUACUAGAGUAAUUUUUAGGAGACUUGGAGACUAAUUUGUUUGUAAUUACUUCAUAUUUAAAGACUUGAAGUACUUGUUUAGUUAUGUGUUGUUGUAUAGAUGCGUGUAGACCGUAGUUAUGAACUUAUGAUGUAAUUGCAUGUUAGAGACUUGGACUACUUGUUUUUUUUUUAAUAUUUUUCAAUAUUCCGGAUUUAUUUUUAUUUUAAUAUUGCGAUCUAAUCAAUCCAUCCAAACCAACCCGAAGAUUGUCGAAUUGGGUUGGUUCGGAUUCGUAGGUGAAAAUGCAUGAAAUCCAACCCAACCCAACCCAAACAGUUUUGAUCGGUUCAAAUCCUGAUUAGCCUGAAAAUCCAUCCAAACCCAACCCAUGUGCAGCCCUACCAGAAAGUUUGUAGUUUUGGGCAUGAUUUUAAUAUCCCAAAUAGUUUGUUGUUUUAGGAUGUCAAUGCAUUUUUCCCCAUUUUUUUCCACUUAUACCCUCAUUUAAUACAUUUUCUCUCACUUAUCACCUUUAAUAUUAACCAACCACAACUCUUCUCUAUUAAUUACAUUCUUCUAUAUCUAAGUAUAAUUUAAUAGUUGCACAUCAUACUAGUAAAAUUAACCAACCACAACUCUUCUCUUUGUGCCACAACCUUAAACUACAAACUUUAUGGAACAAAGGGAGUAAUAAUUAUCAACCGAUGAUCAGAUUCUUACAAAGAUUGAGUUUUGAUGGAUAAAGAAAAUAUGUUUUAUUUUUAAAAAAGAUAGCUACUCUCUCCGUUUCAAUAUAAGUGGCCAGAAAUAAAAGAAACCUGCACAUUAAUAAAUACAAUUAUUAUUGUUAACUUUUAAAAAUAAAUUAUUUGUUUUCCUUUAAGAUAAAUUGCACCCGCAGGAAUCGAUCACUGGAUCUCCCCCAUCUCCUACCACUUGAUCUAUCUUAUGGAGACAAAUAUUUUUACUCUAAGUGAUCACUUAUAUUGAAACAGAAAGAGUAUUUAAUUGUAUUUGGAUCUAUGUUGAAUUUGGUUUAAAACUACUACAAUUAUGAUUUGUAAAUUGUAAGUAGCAUAAAGGAAAGUGAAGAAAUGCCUCCAACAAAAGGCUUUACUGGACUUUAGCUUUGCUAAUAAAUCUAUCAAAUGUAUAGCAAAUUUGUCAGAGCAUCAUCAUCCAUACAUCAAGAGACUCGCUAAUUUGAAUUGUAUAAUUACAAUUCUCCAUAAUGACACAUCAUUUACAUUAUUUUAAACAAUUCUACUAACUUUUUACUUCAACUCAAUAAUUUUAAAAUAUUUCUCAAAUGUACCUCACAAUCUACCUCGUUUUAUAUAUUAUUAAUUAUCUUUAUUUAAUCAUUUCAUUCAUCACAUAAAACAAAAUGGUGCUUGUUGCGGUACCUUGAGCCAGAUCAAGGCGUGGUACCUAAAAUGUCAUAAACCAAUAGAAAAUAUACAAUUUAAACUUAGAGGAAGAGGAUAAAGGAGGAUUUUGAGGUUUAAUAUGGGCGGAGAAUGAAGGAAGAAUGCAGCCCUACCAGAAAGUUUGUAGUUUUGGGCAUGUUUUUAAUAUUCUAAAUAGUUUGUUGUUUUAGGAUGUCAAUGCAUUUUUCCCCAUUUUUUUCCACUUAUACCCUCAUUUAAUACAUUUUCUCUCACUUAUCACCUUUAAUAUUAACCAACCACAACUCUUCUCUAUUAAUUACAUUCUUCUAUAUCUAAGUAUAAUUUAAUAGUUGCACAUCAUACUAGUAAAAUUAACCAACCACAACUCUUCUCUUUGUGCCACAACCUUAAACUACAAACUUUAUGGAACAAAGGGAGUAAUAAUUAUCAACCGAUGAUCAGAUUCUUACAAAGAUUGAGUUUUGAUGGAUAAAGAAAAUAUGUUUUAUUUUUAAAAAAGAUAGCUACUCUCUCCGUUUCAAUAUAAGUGGCCAGAAAUAAAAGAAACCUGCACAUUAAUAAAUACAAUUAUUAUUGUUAACUUUUAAAAAUAAAUUAUUUGUUUUCCUUUAAGAUAAAUUGCACCCGCAGGAAUCGAUCACUGGAUCUCCCCCAUCUCCUACCACUUGAUCUAUCUUAUGGAGACAAAUAUUUUUACUCUAAGUGAUCACUUAUAUUGAAACAGAAAGAGUAUUUAAUUGUAUUUGGAUCUAUGUUGAAUUUGGUUUAAAACUACUACAAUUAUGAUUUGUAAAUUGUAAGUAGCAUAAAGGAAAGUGAAGAAAUGCCUCCAACAAAAGGCUUUACUGGACUUUAGCUUUGCUAAUAAAUCUAUCAAAUGUAUAGCAAAUUUGUCAGAGCAUCAUCAUCCAUACAUCAAGAGACUCGCUAAUUUGAAUUGUAUAAUUACAAUUCUCCAUAAUGACACAUCAUUUACAUUAUUUUAAACAAUUCUACUAACUUUUUACUUCAACUCAAUAAUUUUAAAAUAUUUCUCAAAUGUACCUCACAAUCUACCUCGUUUUAUAUAUUAUUAAUUAUCUUUAUUUAAUCAUUUCAUUCAUCACAUAAAACAAAAUGGUGCUUGUUGCGGUACCUUGAGCCAGAUCAAGGCGUGGUACCUAAAAUGUCAUAAACCAAUAGAAAAUAUACAAUUUAAACUUAGAGGAAGAGGAUAAAGGAGGAUUUUGAGGUUUAAUAUGGGCGGAGAAUGAAGGAAGAAGAUCUAUGUUGCACGGAUACGGGUACGGUACCGGUACCGUGUACGGGUACGUGUACGGGGUAUGCCAGUUAUUAUAUAUAUAUAUAUUUAAAUAAAAAAUAUAUAUAUAAAAAAUAGAAAUAAAAUGUUUUCUACACAAUAUUAUUAAUUAAAAAUAAAAUACUCGUAUUUCUUGGCCAAUACUCAUAUCAAAGUCCAACAUGAUGGGAAGAAGAAGAACGUGAGCGACCCUCUCUCUUCAUCUUCAUAGCAGCUGUAUGUUAAAAAGAGUGAAAGGUAAAUUAGGUUUUGGUCUUUUAAAUAAAUUGAGAAUAAUUUUUAAAAUUAAAUAAAAAACUACAAAACGACAUAGUUUAGAACAUUUUUCAUUUUAAAAAAAAAAACUUAUCCGACGUGCCCACGGUGUACCAAAAACGUACCCAGCUUUUUUUGUUUGGCGAUGCAUUUGGGUACGUACCCACGGCGUACCCACUGCGUACCCGUACCCGGUAUCGGUACUCUACCAAUUUUGGCGUACCCGUCCAACAUAGAAGAAGAUCCUCAAAUGAAAGAAAUUUUUAUGACCUUUCAGAAUUGCAAGUUGAACUAAAAACUCUAAUUUUCAAGUUGUGCAUUUCAUAACAUAAACAAAUUUAAGAACUAUAUGUUAUUAAUUCAUUUAAGUGGAUCAUUGAACUUUUUAAAAUUGCAAUAAUAUAUUAUUUCGCCUUUUUCCAACAAAAUUGUAACUUAAAAUAUUAUAUGGGGUACCACACAAAAAAAAAUCCGGGUACCACAGAAUUCACCAAACAAAACAAACAAAAGGUAAAUUGGGUCUCACAAUAGCAACGCUUUGGGAGUUACUGCGUUAAACAACUCUUCCUAUGACUUGACAACUCUUGGUAGGUGAGUUGCUAACAUAGUUGCAUGUCAAAGAAGAACCCAAAAAAAUCUCCCGUUGUUGAUCCUCUCAAGCAAAUGCAAAAGUGCAAAAGUUGUAAAGAUUAUUUGUUAAAAAACCAACACAUGGCUCAGUUGGUUAACACACACUACUUCUUCUUCGAAGGUUGUUCGUUCAUUUCUCACUACUGGUGUGAGGGUUGUGUAGGUGAGCGAUCUAUAAACAACUUUGUAAAAAACCUAUGAUUCCGAAGACAUACCCUAGUCCAUGAUAGUGACAAAAAAUAAACACGCUUAAACUUUCAUUCAGCAAUAAAAGAAAGAAAGAAAAAAAAAACAGAAGCUCUGCAAAUAUAUUUGUUACCAAGGUAGCAUGACUUUCUAUUUGGUAUAUGAAAGUUAAGUAGCUUCAUGGCCAAAAGAUACAGUUGAAGUCUCAUGAUGUUGGUUUAAAAGCUUAUCAAGGGGUCAAAAUGAAUAAUUAUAUCUUCACACCUCAUUUUGAGGUGUGGAAAGGUGGAGGAAGAGAAAAAUAGGAAGAAAAGAGAGAGAAAGUAAAGAUGUGAUAUGUGAUUUGAUUGAUAGAAAAAUGAGAAAUAUAUAGUAAUGAAUGUGGAAAAAAAGUGGAGAAGUGUGUAUAUAUGAUAACUCGGUAUAAAGUUAUAACUACUAGAUACUAGCUAGCGACCAACACUUCAAAAGACUGAUAGGAAACUGUGUGAACUUAAUAUAUCCUUAUUUAUAAGCAUUUUGCUCCAUUUUGUGUGUGCAGAAAGGCUAAAAAUAUACAAAAUAUUAAAGGGAGGUAUUUGGCUGUUAUAUUUAUCUGUCACUUUACCACAAUAUCAUACCAUAAGUUCAUUUCUUUGUAAAACAUUCCAUAAAUUUCAAUCCACUGGAAGGACAACCACAGAUAAUGAGUUAUUAAGAAAUUUGGGAACAAAGCAAUUAUUCAUUCAAGUGCUCUUAUCCAUUCAUUUGCCUAUGCAAAUUUGCAAAUGUGAAACUCAAACAAAAAAUGCCAAAAUAUAGGAUGGCAUUUCUCUUGUAAAAAGAAAAAGAAAAAACUGAACACAUGGGAAGAAGGGGGAGGCUACAAAUGCCUUUUUGUAUGUAGAUUUCAAACUUAGUAGCCUGCUGGUCUGUGUGCAAUGAAACUGAUGCACUGCACUUGGCGAACAUUGUCGAAUCCAAUGAUGCGCACAAAAGCGUUGGGGUAUGCCUUCACAGCCUCAUCAAGUUCCUUCAACACCUGGGUAGCAUCACUGCACCCAAACAUGGGGAGCUUCCACAUGGUCCAGUAGCGUCCGUCAUAGUAUCCAGGUGACUUGUGGUUCUCACGGUAGACAAAGCCUUUCUGCACACACAAAAUGCAGCAAACAGUUCAUCAACCAUCAAAACUCAAAAUUAUUGAUAACUCCAGAAGCUGCACUUUGUAGCUUCUGUCCAGAAGAGAUUAUGAGACUUCUCACCACAGAACCAAACAACUGAAACAAGGGCUGGAGGUAAAUUUACCUCCAACUCGAAUUCCAAGCAAGAAAUCAACCAUCAAACUUCAAAAUUAUAUGCAUAUGUUUGAAUUGGUGGUGACACACAUUUCAAAUCACCAUACUUUUAGCUUGUUCGAUUAUGCAGUGAGAAGUCUCAUAGUCAAUUGCAGAGAGAAGCUACAAAGUGUUGCUUCUGAACUUGAGCUUUGAAUUGUGUGACACCACCAAUCCAAAUCUACUAUUUGUAGCUUCUCUGGGGAAGUGAUUAUAGGACUUCCUACCACAUAACUAUAAGCCUAAUAAUGAAACACUAGAAAGUAAAGAACCAAAGGGUUGGAAGUAAAUUGACCUCUGUCUCGAAUUCCAAGCAAGGAACCCAACCCUUCCUAAGAAGGUAUUCUACUUCCUUUAAGAGUUGCUCUGUGGUGAGUGGUGGAAGGUAUGAAAGAGUCUCGAACUUCUUCUUGCCAACAGGAGGCCACACCUAGUAGCAUGCAUAAGAUUGAGUAAAUUGGUUAACAAAUUUGUCGUCAAGGACUUUAAUACUAUCAUUUAGUACAUGUUUCAAAUCUCUUCCGCAAUUAUGGGAAGAAACUUACGUGAGUGUCUUCUUUGUCAGAAUUGGUUAGAAUGGAAUAGCUAGAAGCUGUGGUACAAAAAUUUGUAGCAUUGUAAUCAUUUUGAGGCAUCUUACCUGCAUGCAUUGUACUCUUCCACCGUUGUUUGCAAUGGAGGUAAUGUCAUUGUUUGUCUUUCUAACUGGGAAGCCAGCCAUGGACUUGAGGCCAGUGAAUGGAGCCACCAUGCUGGCCUGUGCCGGAGAGGCACCUUUAAUGGUGGUGGCGGCAGCUGAGGAGGUGAUCAUAGAGGAAGCCAUUUUUUCUCCUUUUUCAGUUCUCUAGUCAGAAAUACUUGCAAAGCUUCUACUCAAACAGGGUAUAUAUAUUGCCGAAAUGAUAAACAUUGUAGAAUAUGAACCAAAGAAAUCAUAUCAUGAUAAGAG